rnacentral:rRNA from 1 species
CCUACGGGAGGCUGCAGUAGGGAAUCUUUCACAAUGGGCGAAAGCCUGAUGGAGCAACGCCGCGUGCAGGAUGAAGGCUUUCGGGUUGUAAACUGCUUUUGUAAGCGAGGAUAAUGAUGGUAACUUAUGAAUAAGGAUCGGCUAACUACGUGCCAGCAGCCGCGGUCAUACGUAGGAUCCGAGCAUUAUCCGGAGUGACUGGGCGUAAAGAGUGGCGUAGGGGGGAAAAUAAGUAGCUAGUUAAAUCUGGUGGCUUAACCAUUCAGACUAUUUGCUAAACUGUUAAGCUCGAGAACGUUAGGGGUAACUGGAAUUUUUGGUGUAGGAGUGAAAUCCGUAGAGAUUAAAAGGAACACUAAUAGCGAAGGCAGGUUGCUGGGACAGUUCUGACACUAAGGCACGAAAGCGUAGGGAGCAAACGGGAUUAGAUACCCGAGUAGUC